rnacentral:ncRNA from 1 species
UAUGGCGGGUGCAGGUGUGAGGGCGAGCAACCUUUCGCUCUUCCUGGAAGCAGGCGUCAAAGAAGUGCACAGUUCAGCCGGGCAAUGGUUGCCCUCCGAAAUGCGUUAUCGCAAUCCCGGACUGUCAAUGUCAACGGAUCCUGACGCUGAUGAGUAUUCACGUUAUGCCGUCGACGGUGCGGCCGUAGCCGCAAUGAGUGCGAUCGUCGCGCGUCAUGAGUAGUUAACCGUUUUUUACCGCGCGUCAUAUCGCCCAAUAUGAUGCUUGCUUGUACCAGGCCCCUGCCCAUUAAACAGGGGCCUUUUUU